rnacentral:rRNA from 1 species
AACGAACGCUGGCGGCAUGCCUAACACAUGCAAGUCGAACGGGUACCUUCGGGUGCUAGUGGCGCACGGGUGCGUAACGCGGGGGAAUCUGCCCUUGGGUUCGGAAUAACCCAGCGAAAGCUGUGCUAAUACCGGAUGAUGUCGAAAGACCAAAGAUUUAUCGCCCGAGGAUGAGCCCGCGUUGGAUUAGCUAGUUGGUGGGGUAAAGGCCUACCAAGGCGACGAUCCAUAGCUGGUCUGAGAGGAUGAUCAGCCACACUGGGACUGAGACACGGCCCAGACUCCUACGGGAGGCAGCAGUGGGGAAUAUUGGACAAUGGGCGAAAGCCUGAUCCAGCAAUGCCGCGUGAGUGAUGAAGGCCUUAGGGUUGUAAAGCUCUUUUACCCGGGAUGAUAAUGACAGUACCGGGAGAAUAAGCUCCGGCUAACUCCGUG